rnacentral:rRNA from 1 species
GACAGAGGGUGCUAGCGUUGUUCGGAAUGACUGGGCGUAAAGGGCGCGUAGGCGGAAAUAUUAGUCAGGCGUGAAAGCCCCGGGCUUAACCCGGGAAUUGCGCUUGAAACGGUAUGUCUAGAGUGCGAGAGAGGAAAGUGGAAUUCCUAGUGUAGAGGUGAAAUUCGUAGAUAUUAGGAGGAACACCAGAGGCGAAGGCGGCUUUCUGGCUCGCAACUGACGCUGAGGCGCGAAAGCGUGGGGAGCAAACAGG